AUGCUUACGAGAAAGGAGCACCAUCACAAGGACAGCAAUUUAGUAGCCAGCAAGUAUGUACUCCAAAGACUAUUUGUUUUUGCAAUAUCACAAAUAGGUGUCAUGGAACCUCAUUCAUUUAGCUAUUGUUACCAACGGGGUUUUAUUUUGUUUACACAGAUUGAAAUGGUAGUUGAAGUCAUGAAUGCACGCAUUGCUGAUCAUGAAAAGAAGGUAUGCAGGAAGUUAAUGGAAACUGAGCACAGAUUUGAUGUCAAAUACCAGACUCUAGGUGAAGACUUGAUCGACAUGAAGACUAAAACUGGCACUAAUCCUAGGUUGUCGAAGGCCGGGGACGAAAUUAAAGACUUAAGGAGGGAACUCCAUGUAUGUCAUACUGUGCAUUUUGUAUUUUUUAUGAAUAUGUUCCUUCAUGAUCAAGUCAAUGUGUGCAAUUCAUCUCGGACAGGAACUCCUAGGGCUAGCCAAAUCACGACAGGGACUUCGAGUACACCAAGUGCAAGACAUGUGACGGAAAACAAUGAGGAACCACAAUUAACUCCGAUGAAGCCUGUCUUUGGUAAUGAUUACAAGUUCACGGAUGAGGACAUAGAGACAGCCGUUUACAUCCGCGGAACAUAUGACCCUGUUGAAAUGGCUAGAAUCAAAGACAUUUCCCUCACAGCAGAAAAUCUGAAGCGAAAUUUGUACGAGAAAUAUAUUUAUGGUGAUGUUAUUAUGGCAUACGCUCUCAUUAGCCAAAUUGAGAAUGAUACUACCUCAAUCAUAUACCCUCAAGAAACCAAAAAGCUGUUACAAAUGAAGGGGGUGGUUCCUGUUGGACGUGCAGCCUCAUGGUUAGCUCGUGUCGCAGGAAAAUUUGUAGGGCGCCGAAAGGUGCAUGUCCCACUCAAUGUACACCAAAAUCAUUGGAUGCUAAUGAUGUUUAAUUUUGACAAAAAAGAAAUUCAGACUCUGAACUCCAUUAAUUAUCAUUGCGACAAGACCAAGGAAGAUUCUCUUUUCUGCAUUGACGAAGCUGUCAAGAAAGGGUUGAUAUCACCAGCUAAUAACAUCAAUUUUGCCAAAUGGACCAAAAAACGCUAUGAGAACAUACCACAACAGACCGAUGGGACUUCCUGUGCGGUUUGGACACUGCAGUACAUGUUGUCAUGGAACGGGGAUGAAAUGACCGAUAUUUUGAACCAGGAGGGGUACGAUGCCCAGCAAGCAGUUCUACCUGAUGCUUCAGAAGAGGACAUACAAUUAGUCAACAAUCUCGAUGGUUCCAACGAACCUGACACAUCCAACUCCCAGAAGGAUACCGGUGCAGCCAACUCCCCCAAAAAUGGUGCUCCCAACUCCCCCAAAAGGAAGAGAGCACGUGGACGCCCGAGAAAGCUAGUCGAUCCCGAGUAG
rnacentral:rRNA from 1 species